rnacentral:rRNA from 1 species
ACACAUGCAAGUCGAGGGGCAGCAUGGUCUUAGCUUGCUAAGACUGAUGGCGACCGGCGCACGGGUGAGUAACACGUAUCCAACCUGCCGUCUACUCUUGGACAGCCUUCUGAAAGGAAGAUUAAUACAAGAUGGCAUCAUGAGUCCGCAUGUUCACAUGAUUAAAGGUAUUCCGGUAGACGAUGGGGAUGCGUUCCAUUAGAUAGUAGGCGGGGUAACGGCCCACCUAGUCUUCGAUGGAUAGGGGUUCUGAGAGGAAGGUCCCCCACAUUGGAACUGAGACACGGUCCAAACUCCUACGGGAGGCAGCAGUGAGGAAUAUUGGUCAAUGGGCGAGAGCCUGAACCAGCCAAGUAGCGUGAAGGAUGACUGCCCUAUGGGUUGUAAACUUCUUUUAUAAAGGAAUAAAGUCGGGUAUGGAUACCCGUUUGCAUGUACUUUAUGAAUAAGGAUCGGCUAACUCCGUGCCAGCAGCCGCGGUAAUACGGAGGAUCCGAGCGCUAUCCGGAUUUAUUGGGUUUAAAGGGAGCGUAGAUGGAUGUUUAAGUCAGUUGUGAAAGUUUGCGGCUCAACCGUAAAAUUGCAGUUGAUACUGGAUAUCUUGAGUGCAGUUGAGGCAGGCGGAAUUCGUGGUGUAGCGGUGAAAUGCUUAGAUAUCACGAAGAACUCCGAUUGCGAAGGCAGCCUGCUAAGCUGCAACUGACAUUGAGGCUCGAAAGUGUGGGUAUCAAACAGGAUUAGAUACCCUGGUAGUCCACACGGUAAACGAUGAAUACUCGCUGUUUGCGAUAUACUGCAAGCGGCCAAGCGAAAGCGUUAAGUAUUCCACCUGGGG